GGUCCGAUUAAACGUCUUAGGCGC
rnacentral:siRNA from 1 species